AGCUCAUGGCGCAGCCAGGGACUGUGAAGGCUUCAGCAUCCUGGUGAUCAUCAUCACACGUUCCUGUAUAUGCUGCCUGUGUCAUGGGACCUUUCCUAAUCUGGAAAGUUUUUUCUCAAGCUGGCCCUUAACUGAAGAAUUCAUGCUGCUUGGAACAUCAAAGCCAAAACAGGCAUAAACAUACAUUAUAUCUAGAUUAUUUGGGCUUGAUUUAAAAGUCUCCUGACAGCUUGCUUAAUGACUCCUGGAUUUAAGACUUACCUCCGGAUCGAAUUCCAGAGAGCUACUAUACUUGAACUGCAGAGGGCUGCUCCACAGAAAUGUCUCUUACCAGCCAAAAGCAUGUAGAGCUCCCCCAUCUUCGGCUGGAAGUUGAUGGCUGCGCUGAGGAAAUGGAAAGCGGAUGCGUACUGCUGCAUAGUCAAGUGGACAAGGC